ensembl:miRNA MIR153-1 microRNA 153-1
CCAGUGUCAUUUUUGUGAUCUGCAGCUAGUAUUCUCGCUCCAGUUGCAUAGUCACAAAAGUGAUCAUUG